AUUGAACGCUGGCGGCAGGCCUAACACAUGCAAGUCGAACGGUAGCACAGAGAGCUUGCUCUCGGGUGACGAGUGGCGGACGGGUGAGUAACGUCUGGGAAACUGCCCGAUGGAGGGGGAUAACUACUGGAAACGGUAGCUAAUACUGCAUAACGUCGCAAGACCAAAGUGGGGGACCUUCGGGCCUCACACCAUCGGAUGUGCCCAGAUGGGAUUAGCUAGUAGGUGGGGUAAUGGCUCACCUAGGCGACGAUCCCUAGCUGGUCUGAGAGGAUGACCAGCCACACUGGAACUGAGACACGGUCCAGACUCCUACAGGAGGCAGCAGUGGGGAAUAUUGCACAAUGGGCGCAAGCCUGAUGCAGCCAUGCCGCGUGUAUGAAGAAGGCCUUCGGGUUGUAAAGUACUUUCAGCGGGGAGGAAGGCGGUGAAGUUAAUAACUUCAUUGAUUGACGUUACCCGCAGAAUAAGCACCGGCUAACUCUGUGCCAGCCGCCGCUGUAA
rnacentral:rRNA from 1 species